AGAAAUAUGUCUCAUAAAAGAGUUACUUUGAUAGUGUAAAUAGCAGAGGUUUAAAUCCUCUUUACAUCUA
rfam:TPA: Bos taurus chromosome 28, whole genome shotgun sequence.